rnacentral:lncRNA from 1 species
GGCCUCUGACUGCUGGACCGAGGAGCUCACCCAGCAAACCCUGCUGGUGGCCAGAGGGCCUGGCAGGCCCCGAGCAGGAGGCACAGGCGGGGUGGUGGGGGACAUAGAGCACGUCCUGAGGGGGAUGGCACACAGGCCCUGCACUGGAUGGAUCAGCUGACACCACCCAGACCGUGGUAAUCUGGCUCAACCAGUUCUGCCACCCCACCCAGGAACAGAAGACAGCAAGCAAACCUCACUUCAAUCCCUAUGAUUCCAUCUCCAACCUGAUCAAUCAGUACUCCCCACUUCCCGAGACCCUACCUGCCAAAUUAUCCUUAAAAACUCCAAUCCCCGAAUGCUUGGGGAGACUGAUUUGAGUAAUAAUAAAACUCCCAUCUCCCGCAC